UUUAUUAUUACACCUUCACGAAGUCUUUUAUUUCAACAUGGAGUAUGUCAUUACUCAUUAUAAGGAGUCAAUAUACUGACAUACUUCAUAUUGAAAUAAAAUAAAACCACCAACAUAUGUAAAUAUGAAAAGUAUACUCCUGUAAGGUGUUGAAUUUCGCUUUUAGUCGUUUGAUUUAUUUUUCACCAAAGGUUUGUCCCGGAGAUUUGUCUAGCUACAUGAAAUUCAACCCAAAAAUAGGUUAAUUCCGUCAUCUGAGGUCAAUUGCUCCAGACCUACAAAAAGUCGACUGUAAAUUUUGAAUUUGAUGAUGUCUGAGGAGAUUUUACUCAGCUGAUAUUUUUGACAAUUUACUUUAUCUUACAAUUUUUACAGAUUAUAGUAAAAAUCCAGAGAGAGAGAAAAAACGGAACAAAUCGCCUUUUACUUGCAAUGAGUCCAAUAACGAUUUGUCAAUGAUAAAUAGGGUUGAACAUUUUUAGGUCUUCAUCACACUCGAAAGAUAGAUGGACAAUCCUAGUUUUUUUUUUUUUUUAUUCUUCAUGUUUUAUUUUAUCCUCGUCGAUCAUAUUGGUUGACAGGCAAGACCAAAGACACUUUCCAAUCACAAAUGAUUGGUUCCAAUUUGGUCAGCAUUUUCAGGGGAACAAGUUUUCUUUGUUAAAGGAAAGUCGACGAAUGCCAAGAAAUGUGAAAAAGGUCUAAUACAUUUCUUCAAGUUAUAUCAAAACUGUGUUCACAACAACAGUGUAUAGUGCUGGCAAUAUUUUAAUCCUUUGAUAUGAUUGUGUAAAAAUGUUUUAAAAUCUGCAAUUAGUAGUGCAUGCAAUCAUGACUCUUGAAUAUUUCAUUUCCAAUAGAUUUGACUUUUUUGUCAACGUUGACCCUUCAAAUAUAAUAAUUUAGAAGAAAGUGAAAAUACAGUGUACCUCUUGUAUAUCUUGUUUGCUUAAUAUAAACAAUAACAUGAAUAUUCUUUCGUCUCAACUCAUCGGUCUUUCUUUCAAACUUUCUUUAUUUAUAUUUUUUGAGCAAAUCAAGUCAAAAAAAUGUAUUUUAAUGUGACUCAUUCUUACACAAUAUCAAUAUUACAAGUUG
rnacentral:lncRNA from 1 species